GACGAACGCUGGCGGCGUGCUUAACACAUGCAAGUCGAACGGUGAAGCGCCUUCCUUUUUGGUGGGUGUGGAUGAGUGGCGAACGGGUGAGUAACACGUGAGUAACCUGCCCCCUUCUUCUGGAUAACCGCAUGAAAGUGUGGCUAAUACGGGAUAUUCUGGGUCUGUCGCAUGAUGGGUCUGGGAAAGAUAUUGUUUCGGUGGGGGAUGGGCUCGCGGCCUAUCAGCUUGUUGGUGGGGUGAUGGCCUACCAAGGCGGUGACGGGUAGCCGGCCUGAGAGGGUGGACGGUCACACUGGGACUGAGACACGGCGCAGACUCCUACGGGAGGCAGCAGGGGGGAAUAUUGCACAAUGGGCGCAAGCCUGAUGCAGCGACGCCGCGUGAGGGAUGGAGGCCUUCGGGUUGUCAACCUCUUUCGCCAGUGAAGCAGGCCUGCCUCGUUUGUGGGUGGGUUGACGGUAGCUGGAUAAGAAGCGCCGGCUAACUACGUG
rnacentral:rRNA from 1 species